CCACUGUCUAUACUAAAGAUGAUUUAAAACAGAUUCAUCUUGAGGAUAAAUGAGGCUCUCUAAAACAAGACGCAAUACUAAUCAAAAGAUAUCGACAGGAGUGUCACAGGCACCUUACCCCAUGCAGGAUAAUUUUGCAGAAGCCAUGGUACCAGCCAACAUCUGUGACCCUGUAGGUAUUCCCCUUCUCUGAGUGGACUGACCCAGGCCUUUUCCCAACAAAGAUAGACCUUGUGGAAGAUGAAGUCUAGUACUAGUAACUAAAACGACAUUAGACUACUGAAGCUAGGCUGACACCAGGAUGUCAUAGCAUACAAUUUCCCCCUACUUAUCCUAUUUCUAACUUCAUUUGUUUAUCCUCCCCCAUUUGCAUUCUGUUGGAUUUUCUCACUUAUUUUAACCUUAUAGAACAAUUUACAUACAUUUUAAUAAAUCAAGUUCUUUUUGGAAUGAAGUGGAGUAUCCAUAAAUACACUCAGAAAAAAGAAAAUAGUUAUGCCUAAGACAAAUUUCACGCCAGGUACAUUUAUGUUCAAAAUUUUCUGGAGGUUUUGAGUUUAUGUAGACAGAUUUCAUGUUCUUCAGGUGCCCAAGUAAAGAAUUCGUAUACUUCCAGAGAGUUUUAUAGUCAAGGUGGACCAUAGGGCUUCCCUGGUGGCUUAGUGGUUAAGAAUCCACCUGCCAAUGCAGGGGACACCGGUUUGAGCCCUGGUCCUGGAAGAUCCCACAUGCCACGGAGCAACUAAGCCUGUGCGCCAAAACUGCUGAGCCUGCACUCUAGAGCCUGCAAGCCACAACUACUGAGCCCGUGAGCCACAACUACUGAAGCCCACUCCUAGAGCCCGUGCUCCACAACAAGGGAAGCCACCACAAUGAGAAGCCUGCACACUGCAACAAACAGCAGCCCCUGCUCGUUGCAACAAGAGAAAGCCCAUGAGCAUCAACGAAGACCCAAUGCAGCCAAAAAUAAAUGAGUUAAAUAAAUAAAUUUUAAAAAAAGAUGGACCAUAGAUAUAUCUAGUUUAUUUUUUAGAAUAUUUUCAUUUACUCUUGUUUGCAUAUGUGCAUAUAAAAUAAGAAUAAUUUUUCCCAUUUCAUAUUAUAAGAAUAAUACAAGCUCAUGUUAAAAAAUUUCACAAAGCAUAUAAGUUGAAAUUAAGUAUGAAAUUAAGUCUUUUUCCCUCAUUAGUUCUCUAAAUUUUACUCCCUUUUGUGUAACAUUAUAGACUUUUCUAUGUACUUAUAAGGAUAUAUAUGUAUCUAUGCACUUUGAUGUUACCUCAAUGGAUUAUACUCUUCUGUGAAGUAGGCUUUUGUCAGUUGACAAAAUAUGGAAACUUUUUUCAGGGCAGUAUAAAUAGAUCUCUUUUAUUCUUAUUUAGCUGGUUUAUUAUUCCAUUGUAUGAAUACUUCAUACUUUAUUUGACUAGUCUCCUAAUAGUGGGCACUUAGGACUCUCUCCCCUUUUAUGCAAGCAAACGUUGCUGCCAAAAAUGUCCUUGUUCGUAUAAUUUUUUACACAUCUGCAGGAAAAUUACAUUUCUGGAAAUAUAAUUGCUGGAUAUGUGCAUUAAAAUUUGUGAUAGUGAUUGCCAAAUGGCUCUCUGAAAUAGUAUUCUCCAAAAACGUUGUUUUAUUCCCUCAUCCCAGACAAGACUAGGUAUAAUCAAACUUUUUUCUUAUAUGCAAAAAUGACUUUUUUGUCUGUUUUAAUAUGAAUCUUCUUAUGAAUGAGUUUAAGCCCCUUCAUUUAUUAACUGCCUCUUUGGGUUUCUUUUUCUGGACUAUAGCUUUGGGAUCUUCGCACAUUUUUCCCUCAUUGGAUUGUUCAGAUUUUUCUUAUUAUAAAGAAUAUUCUUUAUAUUAA